GGGGGCAUAGCUCAGAUGGUAGAGCGCUCGUUUAACAUGAGAAAGGUACGGGGAUCGUUACCCCGCGCCUCCA
rnacentral:tRNA from 1 species